GAUGAACGCUGGCGGCGUGCCUAAUACAUGCAAGUCGAGCGAACGGACGAGAAGCUUGCUUCUCUGAUGUUAGCGGCGGACGGGUGAGUAACACGUGGAUAACCUACCUAUAAGACUGGGAUAACUUCGGGAAACCGGAGCUAAUACCGGAUGAUAUUUUGAACCGCAUGGUUCAAAAGUGAAAGACGGUCUUGCUGUCACUUAUAGAUGGAUCCGCGCUGCAUUAGCUAGUUGGUAAGGUAACGGCUUACCAAGGCAACGAUGCAUAGCCGACCUGAGAGGGUGAUCGGCCACCCUGGCACUGAGACACGGUCCCGACUCCUACGGGAGGCAGCAGUAGGGAAUCUUCCGCAAUGGGCGAAAGCCUGACGGAGCAACGCCGCGUGAGUGAUGAAGGUCUUCGGAUCGUAAAACUCUGUUAUUAGGGAAGAACAUAUGUGUAAGUAACUGUGCACAUCUUGACGGUACCUAAUCAGAAAGCCACGGCUAACUACGUG
rnacentral:rRNA from 1 species